UUUGUUAAUAUUUUAGAAUUGAUAGUUGGAUUUAACUCUCUUAGAUUUUCUACUUUAAUCUAACAUCUAACAAUUAACUCUAACAUUUAAUUUCCACAUUGUUAACUUCUAACUCUUUACUAUUCACUAUCUAACAUUUAAAUUUUGCACCUAACUUUUAAUUUUCGCUUCUAACAUUUAAUUUUUUUUCGUUUACUUUGCUUUAUGUUAUAUCAUUCUUCAUUCAUCUCAUCUAAAAAUGACUAAAAAUGGAUAAGACUUUAAAAAAU
rnacentral:lncRNA from 1 species